GACGAACGCUGGCGGCGUGCUUAACACAUGCAAGUCGAACGGAAAGGCCCUGCUUUUGUGGGGUGCUCGAGUGGCGAACGGGUGAGUAACACGUGAGUAACCUGCCCUUGACUUUGGGAUAACUUCAGGAAACUGGGGCUAAUACCGGAUAGGAGCUCCUGCUGCAUGGUGGGGGUUGGAAAGUUUCGGCGGUUGGGGAUGGACUCGCGGCUUAUCAGCUUGUUGGUGGGGUAGUGGCUUACCAAGGCUGUGACGGGUAGCCGGCAUGAGAGGGUGACCGGCCACAUUGGGACUGAGAAACGGCCCAGACUCCUACGGGAGGCAGCAGUGGGGAAUAUUGCACAAUGGGCGGAAGCCUGAUGCAGCAACGCCGCGUGCGGGAUGACGGCCUUCGGGUUGUAAACCGCUUUCGCCUGUGACGAAGCGUGAGUGACGGUAAUGGGUAAAGAAGCACCGGCUAACUACGUG
rnacentral:rRNA from 1 species